UGGCUCAGAUUGAACGCUGGCGGCGUGCUUAACACAUGCAAGUCGUGCGAGAAAGGUUCCUUCGGGGACUGAGUAGAGCGGCGCACGGGUGAGUAACGCGUGGGUGACCUACCCAGGAGACCGGGAUAACAGUGGGAAACUGCUGCUAAUACCGGGUACGCUUCAUAUUUCACGUAUGGGGGGAAAGGCGGCCUCUGCUUGCAAGCUGCCACUCUUGGAUGGGCCCGCGUCUCAUUAGCUUGUUGGUAGGGUAACGGCCUACCAAGGCGCGAUGAGUAGCUGGUCUGAGAGGAUGAUCAGCCACACUGGGACUGGAACACGGCCCAGACUCCUACGGGAGGCAGCAGUGGGGAAUAUUGCGCAAUGGGCGAAAGCCUGACGCAGCGACGCCGCGUGAAGGGAAGAAGGCCUUCGGGUCGUAAACCUCUGUCAGGAGGGAAGAAACCAUGGGAGUCGAAUAGGCUCUCGUGCUGACGGUACCUCCGGAGGAAGCACCGGCUAACUCCGUGCCAGCAGCUGC
rnacentral:rRNA from 1 species